rnacentral:rRNA from 1 species
AUUGAACGCUGGCGGCGUGCCUAAUACAUGCAAGUCGAACGCAUUGAGAGAAGUGCUUGCACUUUUCAAUUUGAGUGGCGAACGGGUGAGUAACACGUGGGCAACCUACCUGAUAGCGGGGGAUAACGAGUGGAAACAUUCGCUAAUACCGCAUAACAAUAAAGAAGGCAUCUUCUUUAUUUAAAAGGCGCUUUCAAGCGUCACUAUCAGAUGGGCCCGCGGUGCAUUAGUUAGUUGGUGGGGUGAAGGCCUACCAAGACGAUGAUGCAUAGCCGAGUUGAGAGACUGAUCGGCCACAUUGGGACUGAGACAAGGCCCAAAAUCCUACGGGAGGCUGCAGUAGGGAAUCUUCCACAAUGGACGAAAGUCUGAUGGAGCAACGCCGCGUGUGGGAUGAAGGCUUUCGGGUCGUAAAGCACUGUUGUAUGGGAAGAAAUGCUAGGCUAGGAAAUGAGCUUAGUUUGACGGUACCAUACCAGAAAGGGACGGCUAAAUACGUGCCAGCCGCCGCAGUAA